UGGGGAAUAUUGCACAAUGGAGGGAACUCUGAUGCAGCGACGCCGCGUGAGUGAUGAAGGAAUUCGUUUCGUAAAACUCUGUUCUAUGGGAAGAAAAGGACUGUACCAUAGGAGAAAGCUCCGGCUAAAUACGUGCCAGCAGCCGCGGUAAUACGUAUGGAGCGAGCGUCGUCCGGAAUUAUUGGGCGUAAAGGGUGCGCAGGCGGCUUUACAAGUUGGAUGUGAAAUAUUGUGGCUCAACCACAAACGUGCAUCCAAAACUGCAAAGCUUGAGUUAAGGAGAGGUAAGUGGAAUUCCUGGUGUAGCGGUGGAAUGCGUAGAUAUCAGGAGGAAUACCGGUGGCGAAGGCGACUUACUGGACUUGAACUGACGCUCAGGCACGAAAGCGUGGGGAGCAAACAGU
rnacentral:rRNA from 1 species